AGCGAACGCUGGCGGCAGGCCUAACACAUGCAAGUCGAGCGCCCCGCACGGGGAGCGGCAGACGGGAGAGUAACACGUGGGAACGUACCCUUUGGUUCGGAACAACCCAGGGAAACUUGGGCUAAUACCGGAUCAGCCCUUACGGGGAAAGAUUUAUCGCCGAAGGAUCGGCCCGCGUCUGAUUAGCUAGUUGGUGGGGUAACGGCCCACCAAGGCGACGAUCAGUAGCUGGUCUGAGAGGAUGAUCAGCCUCACUGGGACUGAGACACGGCCCAGACUCCUACGGGAGGCAGCAGUGGGGAAUAUUGGACAAUGGGCGCAAGCCUGAUCCAGCCAUGCCGCGUGGGUGAUGAAGGCCCUAGGGUUGUAAAGCCCUUUCGGCGGGGAAGAUAAUGACGGUACCCGCAGAAGAAGCCCCGGCUAACUUCGUGCCAGCCGCCGCGGUAAAAC
rnacentral:rRNA from 1 species